rnacentral:rRNA from 1 species
GCAGUUCAUCAAACUGCAUCGAUUACGUCCCUCCCCUUUGUACACACCGCCCGUCGCACCUACCGAUUGAGUGGUCCGGUGAAGCCUCGGGAUUGCCGUUUACUUCUUCGGAUGCAGACAGCAAGAACUUGUCUAAACCUUAUCACUUAGAGGAAGGUGAAGUCGUAACAAGGUUUCCGUAGGUGAACCUGCGGAAGGAUCAUU